CCUACGGGGUGCUGCAGUGGGGAAUAUUGGACAAUGGGCGAAAGCCUGAUCCAGCCAUGCCGCGUGUGUGAAGAAGGCCUUCGGGUUGUAAAGCACUUUCAGUGGGGAAGAAAGCCUUGGGGCUAAUACCCUCGAGGAAGGACAUCACCCACAGAAGAAGCACCGGCUAACUCCGUGCCAGCGCCGCGGUAAUACGGAGGGUGCGAGCGUUAAUCGGAAUUACUGGGCGUAAAGCGCGCGUAGGCGGUCUGAUAAGCCGGUUGUGAAAGCCCCGGGCUCAACCUGGGAACGGCAUCCGGAACUGUCAGGCUAGAGUGCAGGAGAGGAAGGUAGAAUUCCCGGUGUAGCGGUGAAAUGCGUAGAGAUCGGGAGGAAUACCAGUGGCGAAGGCGGCCUUCUGGACUGACACUGACGCUGAGGUGCGAAAGCGUGGGUAGCAAACAGGAUUAGAUACCCCUGUAGUC
rnacentral:rRNA from 1 species